CCGGCAGAGAUCUGCGGAAAAACAGGAGACGUCCAGGAUAACGCAGUUCCAGCGGCAACCGCUCCCAAACAAACUGUAACACAUCAAUUCCGCCACAUAUUGCCGUGUCUUCGAAGUCUUCGACUGGUUUUCUUGCAGAAGAUCGUAGGUUAUUGGAUUGCGUGAGUCACCGUCCUCUUGACUGACGGUCUGGAAAAGAAGAAGGAAGCUUAAGGAUCUGCUUAAAAGAUUAUAAUAAUCACUCAUAAUGAUUACGAUGGCUGCCCUGCUAGGUUUCCUAACUGGCCUGGUUAUGAUAAUAGGCAAACUUCUAGCGUUUCUUUGGACUUUGACGAAAACCAUAUACGUGACUGUGAAAAUUGCAAGGACCUUAAGGAAAACACCAACAUUUAGCGAUGUGAAGACUCGGUUUAAAGAGUUUUCCAUCGGAAGUGCGAAAACUAUACUCAAAGAAAAGUUAAACAAGUCUUGAACGCAUUUGUAAUCCAAUUCCGCUGAAACUAUUCGUACUUAAAGCACAUUUAAUUUGAAAAUACACAAAUAUAUACAUAUAUAUAA